rnacentral:piRNA from 1 species
UGAGAAUUCUCGACAGUGGGCACUGUCAAC